UACAGAGGGGGCAAGCGUUGUUCGGAAUUACUGGGCGUAAAGCGCGCGUAGGCGGCUUUGCAAGUCGGGUGUGAAAUCCCCAGGCUCAACCUGGGAACUGCAUUCGAGACUGCAUUGCUAGAGUAUGGGAGAGGGAAGUGGAAUUUCCGGUGUAGCGGUGAAAUGCGUAGAUAUCGGAAGGAACAUCAGUGGCGAAAGCGACUUCCUGGACCAAUACUGACGCUCAUGUGCGAAAGCGUGGGGAGCAAACAGG
rnacentral:rRNA from 1 species